GUUCGCAUGUAAACUUCUAGAAUUCGUCACCAAUAUAAGUACAUCGCAAUCCGUUACUGUUUCAACAGCCAUCGGUGUUUCAUGUGUGUAUACUUAAACAAGUAUUAUUUUUCUCUCGUUUUUAGCAAUGUAUCACUCUCUACUGUCCUUAUAUAUUAUUCUAUAUUCUGCGUUUCCAUCCAGAUUCUCGUGUAUACCAUGAGGUUCCAGAUUGGGGGUAUUGUUUAUUUCUGUAUUCUUUAAAUUGUUAUGUCAUUUUUUUUCUACAUUUUAUUUAUCUAACUCAUUUUUCUUUCUUUAUUUUUCAUAUUUUGUCAUCCCAAUAUAUUUUACUUACUGAUGUUUAGUUACAUUACGACGUUUAUCUCUGAUUUAUAUACUGGUUAUCAAUGUAGAUGACAAAUUUGUGUCAUUCAUGACAAUUAAAC
rnacentral:lncRNA from 1 species